UACAGAGGGUGCAAGCGUUGUUCGGAAUUACUGGGCGUAAAGCGCGUGUAGGCGGCGGCGUAAGUCGGGUGUGAAAUCCCUCGGCUCAACUGAGGAAGUGCACUCGAUACUGUGUCGCUUGAAUGUCGGAGGGGAUGGCGGAAUUCCCGGUGUAGAGGUGAAAUUCGUAGAUAUCGGGAGGAACACCUGUGGCGAAGGCGGCCAUCUGGACGACAAUUGACGCUGAGACGCGAAAAGCGUGGGUAGCAAACAGG
rnacentral:rRNA from 1 species